rnacentral:lncRNA from 1 species
GGGGACUAUGGUGUUAAACUAAAAACCUUCCUAAGGAAAUAUGUGUUGUUGUUUCUAGUGUGUGGAUAAACUUUGUGUGGGUGUGUGGCCAGCUGGUGGUCGGAAAGUGUGAAAAUGGUGUACCUCAUCUGCCGUAUUAUUAACAAUUGUGUAUUGCAUUUGUAUGUUGUAUGUUGUGUUAAUAGUUAUGUGUAUGUGAGUGGUCAAAUAUGGGUUAGAUUUCACAUCAUUUCCUUGUCACAUUGUCU